CAGCGCGAGAAUAGCGCUAUUUAUGUACACGGCCCUGCGUUCGUGCUUGCCGCGGGCAGGCUUCGAGCACCUGCCAUAGCCCGUAUUUAUUUCCAGCACUCGGUGUGUUGAUUUCAGAGACUGGCAGGUUCGCCAGUGUGUGGGGUGCUGGGAGUUGGAGAUCCGAGGAUUUCGCAACGUGUCAGUGCGUUUAAGGCCGGUUUUGAAGCCAAGAACUUCAAGAUUAUCAGCAGCAUGAAGAUCAUUAUUCUUGCACUGAUUGUUCAGGUGUGCAGGUGCUCUGGACUGGGGUCUUUUCAAGAGAAAAAGGUUGAUGAAGCCACCAUGACCAUGGCCAACUAUGCUGUGCCCCUCAUCCAGUCAGAAAUAGACAGCAACAAAUUUUUCAUCCCUGAAAUCUGUGGACAAAGUACAUCAUCAGAUUGUGGCUGGCAAGAACUACAAGAUGGAGCUGACACUGGUGGAGACAGGCUGUGAUGAGAAGUGCUGGCCAGCAGGGGCUGGCAUGCCCACCCCUCGACCAGCCGCGCACCGUGCACUGCAAGGUGGUGGUGUACGACGUGCCGUACCGCAGCCAUCGCGAGGUUUCUAAGAAGGAGUGCGGCCAGCCCGCCUGAGCCGCCUCCGCUGACCUGGCCAGCCCGCGUGAGGCGCCUCCGCUGACCUGGCCAGCCCGCGUGAGGCGCCUCCGCUGACCUGGCCAGCCCGCGUGAGGCGCCUCCGCUGACCUGGCCAGCCCGCCUGAGCCGCCGCCGCUGACCUGGCCAGCCCGCGUGAGGCGCCUCCGCUGGCCUGGCCAGCCCGCCUGAGGCGCCUCCGCUGACCUGGCCAGCCCGCCUGAGGCGCCUCCGCUGACUUGGCCUGACCGCCGAGCGCGUUGUCCGCCGUGUCGGGUGGACGUGGUACAUCUGACGGUGGGAGCGGCGCGGCGCUCCUGUGACCUCGCUGCGGCCAGGAGCGAUUCCUUUGAUUCAUAUCUUUAUAACCGACCGUCGAUGAUUUUGCAUUCCUUGGCAUCUUUGUCGUGGAUAUUAUUGUAAGUUUUUCAAUCAUGUCAUGGGUUUCCAAUGAUCCUGUGAAGAAGUGGUGCUGAUUUCUCAGUUACUACGCUUGUGCCACUGGUUUUAGUUAUGAUACCGGUUGAUGACUUAAGUAAAGUGCAGCUUUUACGAUUCCUACAUGUUCUACCGUGCGCAUUGACGUCUUUCAGCCCGGCAGAUAUGCUUAACACAAAAUACAGUAUUUUUGAUGA